GACGAACGCUGGCGGCGUGCUUAACACAUGCAAGUCGAACGGAAAGGCCCUGCUUUGGUGGGGUGCUCGAGUGGCGAACGGGUGAGUAACACGUGAGUAACCUUCCCUUGACUUUGGGAUAACUUCAGGAAACUGGGGCUAAUACCGGAUAGGAGCUCCUGCUGCAUGGUGGGGGUUGGAAGGUUUCGGCGGUUGGGGAUGGACUCGGGGGUUAUCAGCUUGUUGGUGGGGUAGUGGCUUACCAAGGCCUUGACGGGUCGCCGGCCUGAGAGGGUGACCGGCCACAUUGGGACUGAGAUACGGCCCAGACUCCUACGGGAGGCAGCAGUGGGGAAUAUUGCACAAUGGGCGGAAGCCUGAUGCAGCAACGCCGCGUGCGGGAUGAAGGCCUUCGCGUUAUAAACCGCUUUGCCCUGUGACGAAGCGUGAGUGACGGUAAUGGGUAAAGAAGCACCGGCUAACUACGUG
rnacentral:rRNA from 1 species